rnacentral:rRNA from 1 species
UCCUACGGGAGGCAGCAGUAGGGAAUCUUCGGCAAUGGACGGAAGUCUGACCGAGCAACGCCGCGUGAGUGAAGAAGGUUUUCGGAUCGUAAAGCUCUGUUGUAAGAGAAGAACGAGUGUGAGAGUGGAAAGUUCACACCGUGACGGUAUCUUACCAGAAAGGGACGGCUAACUACGUGCCAGCAGCCGCGGUAAUACGUAGGCCCCGAGCGUUGUCCGGAUUUAUUGGGCGUAAAGCGAGCGCAGGCGGUUAGAUAAGUCUGAAGUUAAAGGCUGUGGCUUAACCGUAGUAGGCUUUGGAAACUGUUUAACUUGAGUGCAAGAGGGGAGAGUGGAAUUCCAUGUGUAGCGGUGAAAUGCGUAGAUAUAUGGAGGAACACCGGUGGCGAAGGCGGCUCUCUGGCUUGUAACUGACGCUGAGGCUCGAAAGCGUGGGGAGCAAACAGGAUUAGAUACCCUGGUAGUCCACGCUGUAAACGAUGAGUGCUAGGUGUUAGACCCUUUCCGGGGUUUAGUGCCGUAGCUAACGCAUUAAGCACUCCGCCUGGGGAGUACGACCGCAAGGUUGAAACUCAAAGGAGUUGACGGGGGCCCGCACAAGCGGUGGAGCAUGUGGUUUAAUUCGAAGCUACGCGAAGAACCUUACCAGGUCUUGACAUCCCUCUGACCGCUCUAGAGAUAGAGUUUUCCUUCGGGACAGAGGUGACAGGUGGUGCAUGGUUGUCGUCAGCUCGUGUCGUGAGAUGUUGGGUUAAGUCCCGCAACGAGCGCAACCCCUAUUGUUAGUUGCCAUCAUUUAGUUGGGCACACUAGCGAGACUGCCGGUAAUAAACCGGAGGAAGGUGGGGAUGACGUCAAAUCAUCAUGCCCCUUAUGACCUGGGCUACACACGUGCUACAAUGGCUGGUACAACGAGUCGCAAGCCGGUGACGGCAAGCUAAUCUCUUAAAGCCAGUCUCAGUUCGGAUUGUAGGCUGCAACUCGCCUACAUGAAGUCGGAAUCGCUAGUAAUCGCGGAUCAGCACGCCGCGGUGAAUACGUUCCCGGGCCUUGUACACACCGCC